rnacentral:rRNA from 1 species
GACGAACGCUGGCGGCGUGCUUAACACAUGCAAGUCGAACGGAAAGGCCCUGCUUUUGUGGGGUGCUCGAGUGGCGAACGGGUGAGUAACACGUGAGUAACCUGCCCUUGACUUUGGGAUAACUUCAGGAAACUGGGGCUAAUACCGGAUAGGAGCUCCUGCUGCAUGGUGGGGGUUGGAAAGUUUCGGCGGUUGGGGAUGGACUCGCGGCUUAUCAGCUUGUUGGUGGGGUAGUGGCUUACCAAGGCUUUGACGGGUAGCCGGCCUGAGAGGGUGACCGGCCACAUGGGGACUGCGAGACGCCGCAGACUCCUACGGGAGGCAGCAGUGGGGAAUAUUGCACAAUGGGCGGAAGUCUGAUGCAGCAACGCCGCGUGCGGGAUGACGGCCUUCGGGUUGUAAACCGCUGUCGCCUGUGACGAAGCGUGAGUGACGGUAAUGGGUAAAGAAGCACCGGCUAACUACGUG